ensembl:snRNA U4 U4 spliceosomal RNA
AGCUUUGCACAAUGGCACUGGGGUAGCCAAUAAGGUUUAUACGAGGUACAAUUAUUGCUAAUUGUAAGCUUUUCGUCAUAUCCUACCGUGACAACUUGAAGUACAGUGGGCAUUGACAAUUUUUGACAGUCUCGGGGA